CAGGCCUAACACAUGCAAGUCGAACGGUGGCAGCAAUGUCAUAGUGGCGCACGGGUGCGUAACACGUAACUAACCUGCCCAGACCUGGGGGAUAGCCCGCCGAAAGGCGGAUUAAUACCGCAUAAGAUAAUAAGGUGGCAUCACCUAGUUAUUAAAGAUUUAUCGGGUUUGGAUGGGGUUGCGGGUCAUUAGCUAGUUGGUAAGGUAACGGCUUACCAAGGCGACGAUGACUAGGGGAGCUGAGAGGCUGGUCCCCCACACGGGCACUGAGAUACGGGCCCGACUCCUACGGGAGGCAGCAGUAGGGAAUAUUGGGCAAUGGGCGAGAGCCUGACCCAGCCAUGCCGCGUGCAGGAAGAAGGCUUUCUGAGUCGUAAACUGCUUUUGAUAGGGAAGAAUAACCAGUACGUGUACUGGGAUGACGGUACCUACAGAAUAAGCACCGGCUAACUCCGUGCCAGCAGCCGCGGUAAU
rnacentral:rRNA from 1 species